GACGAACCGUGCGAACGUUGUUCGGAAUCACUGGGCUUAAAGGGCGCGUAGGCGGCUCCGCAAGUCGGGGGUGAAAUCUUUCGGCUUAACCGGAAAAGUGCCUCUGAUACUGCGGAGCUCGAGGGAGGUAGGGGCGGACGGAACUUCCGGUGGAGCGGUGAAAUGCGUAGAUAUCGGAAGGAACACCAGUGGCGAAAGCGGCUUCCUGGUCCGACACCGACGUUCAGGCACGAAAGCGUGGGGAGCAAACAGG
rnacentral:rRNA from 1 species